AAAACUCGAAGCUGCUAGGGUUAAAAACUCUUAACCCUAAUCACCCCGUUUCUUUCCUUUUAUAUGAGAGUAACCCUUUAUUGUCAUCCAACGGUCCAUUUCUUGCCACUUGUCUUGAAUCUGGAAGAGUUGUUAUUUCAUAACAAAAAAUGCAUUUCUGUUUUGCACUUAUAACAACCCGGCCCUAGUUCUAGAAGUUUCUUCACAAUGGAUCAUCAAUUGCCCACCAAGUUUGGGCCAC
rnacentral:lncRNA from 1 species